rnacentral:rRNA from 1 species
CCUACGGGUGGCAGCAGUGGGGAAUAUUGGACAAUGGGGGGAACCCUGAUCCAGCCAUGCCGCGUGUGUGAAGAAGGCCCUCGGGUUGUAAAGCACUUUCAGUGAGGAAGAACGCCUGGUGGUUAAUACCCAUCAGGAAAGACAUCACUCACAGAAGAAGCACCGGCUAACUCCGUGCCAGCAGCCGCGGUAAUACGGAGGGUGCGAGCGUUAAUCGGAAUUACUGGGCGUAAAGCGCGCGUAGGUGGCUUGAUAAGCCGGUUGUGAAAGCCCCGGGCUCAACCUGGGAACGGCAUCCGGAACUGUCAAGCUAGAGUGCAGGAGAGGAAGGUAGAAUUCCCGGUGUAGCGGUGAAAUGCGUAGAGAUCGGGAGGAAUACCAGUGGCGAAGGCGGCCUUCUGGACUGACACUGACACUGAGGCGCGAAAGCGUGGGUAGCAAACAGGAUUAGAUACCCCAGUAGUC